rnacentral:misc_RNA from 1 species
GAUGAAGAACGUAGCGAAAUGCGAUAAGUAAUGUGAAUUGCAGAGUUCAGUGAAUCAUCGAAUCUUUGAACGCACAUUGCGCCCCCUGGUAUUCCGGGGGGCAUGCCUGUCCGAGCGUCAUUACAACCCUCAAGCUCAGCUUGGUGUUGGGCCCCGCCGCCCCGGCGGGCCCUAAAGUCAGUGGCGGUGCCGUCCGGCUCCGAGCGUAGUAAUUCUUCUCGCUCUGGAGGUCCGGUCGUGUGCUCGCCAGCAACCCCCAAUUUUUUUCAGGUUGACCUCGGAUCAGGUAGGGAUACCCGCUGAACUUAAGCAUAUCAAUAAGCGGAGGA